GAGUGCAGAAGAGGACAGUGGAACUCCAUGUGUAGCGGUGAAAUGCGUAGAUAUAUGGAAGAACACCAGUGGCGAAGGCGGCUGUCUGGUCUGUAACUGACGCUGAGGCUCGAAAGUAUGGGUAGCAAACAGGAUUAGAUACCCUGGUAGUCCAUACCGUAAACGAUGAAUGCUAAGUGUUGGAGGGUUUCCCCCUUCAGUGCUGCAGCUAACGCAUUAAGCAUUCCGCCUGGGGAGUACGGCCGCAAGGCUGAAACUCAAAGGAAUUGACGGGGGCCCGCACAAGCGGUGGAGCAUGUGGUUUAAUUCGAAGCUACGCGAAGAACCUUACCAGGUCUUGACAUACUAUGCAAAUCUAAGAGAUUAGACGUUCCCUUCGGGGACAUGGAUACAGGUGGUGCAUGGUUGUCGUCAGCUCGUGUCGUGAGAUGUUGGGUUAAGUCCCGCAACGAGCGCAACCCUUAUUAUCAGUUGCCAGCAUUAAGUUGGGCACUCUGGUGAGACUGCCGGUGACAAACCGGAGGAAGGUGGGGAUGACGUCAAAUCAUCAUGCCCCUUAUGACCUGGGCUACACACGUGCUACAAUGGAUGGUACAACGAGUUGCGAACUCGCGAGAGUAAGCUAAUCUCUUAAAGCCAUUCUCAGUUCGGAUUGUAGGCUGCAACUCGCCUACAUGAAGUCGGAAUCGCUAGUAAUCGCGGAUCAGCAUGCCGCGGUGAAUACGUUCCCGGGCCUUGUACACACCGCCCGUCACACCAUGAGAGUUUGUAACACCCAAAGUCGGUGGGGUAACCUUUAGGAACCAGCCGCCUAAGGUGGGACAGAUGAUUAGGGUGAAGUCGUAACAAGGUAACCAAGGGCGAAUC
rnacentral:rRNA from 1 species